GAUGAACUAAUAUCUUGUUAAGAAUUUUGUAAACGGAAAAAUUAAAUAGGAAAAAUAAUUUUAAUAAGUGAGAAAAAGUAAUUUUUAAUAAAACUCCAUUUUAACCAUAGAUCAUAAGUACUGAGAAGGAAAGUAUAAGUUCACAUAUUGGAAUAUAGUAAAUAUAAAAAUUUGUAUCUUGUGUAUUAGAGAAGAUUUAUAUAAUUUAAUUAAUUUAAUUUUCUCGAAAUAAAUGUAGCUAAUUAAAAAUACUAGUUUUUGUAGAAGACAAAUUUGUAAUUUUUAGUUAAGGGUGAAAUAUCAAUCGAAAUUUAUUAUAUCUAGUUUUUCUUGAAUGAAUUCAAUUCUUUCUUUUUGGGUACAAAACUUAAAGUUUAAAUGUAGGAGGGAUUAGCUUCUUAUAAAUAUAAAGUAAAAAAUAGUUUAAUGUAAAAAUAUUCUGAGUUAGGCUUAAAAGUGGUUAUUUUAGUAAAGUGUUUCAACUAAGUUAACAGUUGGUUAAAAAUUUAUAUUAACUUUCGUUUCUAGGGGAAAAUAAUUUAAAAUAAGGUAUGUUUAGAUAUAAUGAUUUUAUUAGUAUAAGCUUGUAUUAUUCUAAAAGGAUAUUUAAUAAAAUAAAGAUUAAUAUCUAAUGAGUAAAAAUAUAAACAUAAAGGAACUCGGCAAAUAAUUUCUUUGCCUGUUUAUCAAAAACAUGUCUAUUUGUAGGUAUAUAAAGUCUGGCCUGCCCACUGAUAUUAUUAAAGGGCCGCGGUAAUUUGACCGUGCAAAGGUAGCAUAAUCGUUAGUUCCUUAAUUGGGAUCUUGUAUGAACGGUCGGACAAGAGAAUGACUGUCUCUAUGUUUUUGUUGAAUUUAACUUUUAAGUGAAAAGGCUUAAAUAUUUUAGAAAGACGAUAAGACCCUAUAAAGCUUAAUAAGUUAGAGUAUUUAGCUGAGUUAAUAAAUAAAAGUUUAAUGUGAAAGACUUAUUUUGUUGGGGCGACAAUGAUAAAAUGUUUGUUAACUGUUUAAAAUAAGAAACAAAAUUUUAUGUUUGAAGAAUAAAGUAUAAAUGAUCCUUUAAUAAAGAUUAAAAGUUUAAGUUACUUUAGGGAUAACAGCGUUAUUUUUUUUGAGAGUUCAUAUCGAAAAAAAAGUUUGCGACCUCGAUGUUGAAUUAAAAUUUCUAUAUAGUUGCAGCAGCUAUAUAAGAAGGUCUGUUCGACCUUUAAAUUUUUACAUGAUUUGAGUUCAGACCGGCGUGAGCCAGGUCGGUUUCUAUCUUUUAAUUAUUUAGGAGUUACUUUAGUACGAAAGGAUUAAGUAACUAAAAUUAUUUUUUAGGUUGAUA
rnacentral:rRNA from 1 species